AUUGAUUCUUGGCCUUUGGCUAAUAUCAAGUGUAGUAUCUGUUCUUAUCAGUUUAAUAUCUGAUACAUCCUCUAACCUAGCACAAAAUAUUAAAUAGAUUUGGGGGGGGUAGAAAAAAAUAUUUGUUUACCAGUUAUGGGCAGGUUAUUUCUCAGUUUAGCAACACUGAGCAAAAUAUGUGCUCA